AUUGAACGCUAGCGGGAUGCUUUACACAUGCAAGUCGAACGGCAGCACGAAAAGAGCUUGCUCUUUUUGGUGGCGAGUGGCGAACGGGUGAGUAAUGUAUCGGAACGUACCCAGUAGCGGGGGAUAACUACGCGAAAGCGUGGCUAAUACCGCAUACGCCCUACGGGGGAAAGGGGGGGAUCGCAAGACCUCUCACUAUUGGAGCGGCCGAUAUCGGAUUAGCUAGUUGGUGGGGUAAAGGCUCACCAAGGCAACGAUCCGUAGCUGGUUUGAGAGGACGACCAGCCACACUGGGACUGAGACACGGCCCAGACUCCUACGGGAGGCAGCAGUGGGGAAUUUUGGACAAUGGGGGAAACCCUGAUCCAGCCAUCCCGCGUGUGCGAUGAAGGCCUUCGGGUUGUAAAGCACUUUUGGCAGGGAAGAAACGGCGCUGACUAAUACUUGGCGCAACUGACGGUACCUGCAGAAUAAGCACCGGCUAACUACGU
rnacentral:rRNA from 1 species